rnacentral:rRNA from 1 species
UGUGAACUCGAAGAGUAGGGCGGGACACGUGGUAUCCUGUCUGAAUAUGGGGGGACCAUCCUCCAAGGCUAAAUACUCCUGACUGACCGAUAGUGAACCAGUACCGUGAGGGAAAGGCGAAAAGAACCCCGGCGAGGGGAGUGAAAAAGAACCUGAAACCGUGUACGUACAAGCAGUGGGAGCACCUUCGGGUGUGACUGCGUACCUUUUGUAUAAUGGGUCAGCGACUUAUAUUCUGUAGCAAGGUUAACCGUAUAGGGGAGCCGCAGGGAAACCGAGUCUUAACUGGGCGUUAAGUUGCAGGGUAUAGACCCGAAACCCGGUGAUCUAGCCAUGGGCAGGUUGAAGGUUGGGUAACACUAACUGGAGGACCGAACCGACUAAUGUUGAAAAAUUAGCGGAUGACUUGUGGCUGGGGGUGAAAGGCCAAUCAAACCGGGAGAUAGCUGGUUCUCCCCGAAAGCUAUUUAGGUAGCGCCUCGUGAAUUCAUCUUCGGGGGUAGAGCACUGUUUCGGCUAGGGGGUCAUCCCGACUUACCAACCCGAUGCAAACUACGAAUACCGAAGAAUGUUAUCACGGGAGACACACGGCGGGUGCUAACGUCCGUCGUGAAGAGGGAAACAACCCAGACCGCCAGCUAAGGUCCCAAAGUCAUGGUUAAGUGGGAAACGAUGUGGGAAGGCACAGACAGCCAGGAUGUUGGCUUAGAAGCAGCCAUCAUUUAAAGAAAGCGUAAUAGCUCACUGGUCGAGUCGGCCUGCGCGGAAGAUGUAACGGGGCUAAACCAUGCACCGAAGCUGCGGCAGCGACACUAUGUGUUGUUGGGUAGGGGAGCGUUCUGUAAGCCUGCGAAGGUGACCUGUGAGGGUUGCUGGAGGUAUCAGAAGUGCGAAUGCUGACAUAAGUAACGAUAAAGCGGGUGAAAAGCCCGCUCGCCGGAAGACCAAGGGUUCCUGUCCAACGUUAAUCGGGGCAGGGUGAGUCGACCCCUAAGGCGAGGCCGAAAGGCGUAGUCGAUGGGAAACAGGUUAAUAUUCCUGUACUUGGUGUUACUGCGAAGGGGGGACGGAGAAGGCUAUGUUAGCCGGGCGACGGUUGUCCCGGUUUAAGCAUGUAGGCUGGUU